rnacentral:rRNA from 1 species
AUUGAACGCUGGCGGCAUGCCUUACACAUGCAAGUCGAACGGUAACAGGUUAAGCUGACGAGUGGCGAACGGGUGAGUAAUAUAUCGGAACGUGCCCAGUAGUGGGGGAUAGCCCGGCGAAAGCCGGAUUAAUACCGCAUACGACCUACGGGUGAAAGCGGGGGAUCGCAAGACCUCGCGCUAUUGGAGCGGCCGAUAUCAGAUUAGCUAGUUGGUGGGGUAAAAGCCCACCAAGGCGACGAUCUGUAGCUGGUCUGAGAGGACGACCAG